CCGGAGCCGGUGUUUGUGUACACAGUUGAUCACCUAAUGUUAAACUCUCAAGAGAUGUAAUUAAGCUCCACCAUCGCACCUGUGCUUCUCCAGGUGGAGAGAGAUGAGUCGCCGCCAUUUUCCUCCCCCUCGCUUAUCACUGGGAAACACUGACAUUAAAAAAAAAGGUGUUUAGGCCCAUGAAGUCAUUUCCACUGAUAGAAGAGACUGCAGAGCUAAAACGGGAGUGUUGAAGUUCAGUCUUUUCAACCGUGGCCGCGUUAAGCAAAUUCUGAUUCAAACAGCAUCCAGUCUUGUGGUUGAUUGGAGCGGUGACAAGUCACUGUGCAGAAAGGUAAUCUGUGCUCCGCCCACACCUGCUGUGCAUUUCUCUUAAUUUUGGAAAAGAGAAUCCUGCCGCACAAUUCGACAAGGGAAGUCUGACUUCGGACUUUGUAAAAUAACUUUCAAAACAAAAUGCUGUGAGACUUCGAUCAAGAAAUGGCACCUCCAGGCAGACCGAAGACCACAAAAUUGGUGUCUAAUGCAGUUGACAACUGGUCGUGGUCUUUCAAAAAGGACGGUAGGAAGAGAAGGAGAAUACAUCCAACGGAAGUUAACAUCAUGUAGGCUGACGCA